UCAGUAACACGUAGUCAACAUGCCCAGGGACGUGGAUAACCUCGGGAAACUGAGGAUAAACCGCGAUAAGUCACUACUUCUGGAAUGGGUAAUGACUCAAACCUAUAUGGCCCCUGGAUUGGACUGCGGCCGAUCAGGCUGUUGGUGAGGUAAUGGCCCACCAAACCUGUAACCGGUACGGGCUCUGAGAGGAGGAGCCCGGAGAUGGGCACUGAGACAAGGGCCCAGGCCCUAUGGGGCGCAGCAGGCGCGAAACCUCUGCAAUAGGCGAAAGCUUGACAGGGUUACUCUGAGUGAUUUCCGUUAAGGAGAUCUUUUGGCACCUCUAAAAAUGGUGCAGAAUAAGGGGUGGGCAAGUCUGGUGCCAGC
rnacentral:rRNA from 1 species